rnacentral:rRNA from 1 species
GAUGAACGCUGGCGGCGUGCCUAAUACAUGCAAGUCGAGCGAACAGAUGAGGAGCUUGCUCCUCUGACGUUAGCGGCGGACGGGUGAGUAACACGUGGAUAACCUACCUAUAAGACUGGGAUAACUUCGGGAAACCGGAGCUAAUACCGGAUAAUAUAUUGAACCGCAUGGUUCAAUAGUGAAAGACGGUUUUGCUGUCACUUAUAGAUGGAUCCGCGCCGCAUUAGCUAGUUGGUAAGGUAACGGCUUACCAAGGCAACGAUGCGUAGCCGACCUGAGAGAGUGAUCGGCCACACUGGAACUGAGACACGGUCCAGACUCCUGCGAGAGGCAGCAGUAGGGAAUCUUCCGCAAUGGGCGAAAGCCUGACGGAGCAACGCCGCGUGAGUGAUGAAGGUCUUCGGAUCGUAAAACUCUGUUAUUAGGGAAGAACAAAUGUGUAAGUAACUAUGCACGUCUUGACGGUACCUAAUCAGAAAGCCACGGCUAACUACGUG